UACGUAGGUGGCAAGCGUUGUCCGGAUUUACUGGGCGUAAAGGAUGCGUAGGCGGCCAUUUAAGUCAGAUGUGAAAUACCCGAGCUUAACUUGGGUGCUGCAUUUGAAACUGGGUGUCUAGAGUGCAGGAGAGGUAAGUGGAAUUCCUAGUGUAGCGGUGAAAUGCGUAGAGAUUAGGAAGAACACCAGUGGCGAAGGCGACUCACUGGACUGUAACUGACGCUGAGGCAUGAAAGCGUGGGGAGCAAACAGG
rnacentral:rRNA from 1 species